GCGGGGAACACUUGGGCACUUCUAUGCAGCUCUGUGCUCGUGCAUCGAACUGUCGGCGCCCCAUCCGCUUCAGUCUUGCCCCAAGCGCAGCUCUUGGCUUGCGGGUGCCAAAGGUAUCCUGUGUUGCUUACCAGCGGAAAGGAAUUUGAUGGUUUUGGUGUCCCCAUCCGCCUUGUGCCCUUCGGGGUGCGGGGUGGACGCGAGGCAGGCUCCGUGUUCCCCGCGCGUUGAGUGUGUUGACACUUGACCGCUGUGGCCCAUGGGGUCUUGACCCGUGCUCUCGGAUGCGGAAUGUUGUGUGUGGGCGUGGGGUCUCGGCCUCUACUCGUCCAAGCUACACGCAUUGUCCCUUAACAUGAACGACUGUUGCGCCCGUCUUGAACGACUGACCGAGCCCCUUUUGUGGGUUUUCGGGAUGGCGGCUCAUGCGGAUGUCGGCGUCGGAGAGGAAUGCUACCUGGUUGAUCCUGCCAGUAGUCAUAUGGCUUGUCUAA
rnacentral:misc_RNA from 1 species